rnacentral:rRNA from 1 species
AACGAACGCUGGCGGCAUGCCUAACACAUGCAAGUCGAACGAUUGCCUUCGGGUUUUAGUGGCUCACCGGUUCGUAACGGGGGGGAAUCUGCGCGUAUGUUCGGAAUAACAGCUUGAAACAGCUUCUGAUACCUGAUGAUAUUGCCAGAUCAAAGAUUUAUCGCCUUAGUAUGGGCCCGCGUUGGUUUGGGGAGGGGGUUGGGUAAAGGCCUACCAAGCCGAGGAUCCAUAUCUGGUCUGAGAGGGUGAUCAGCCACACUGGGACUGCGACCCGGACCAGAAUCCUACGCGAGGGAGGAGUGGGGAAUAUUGGACAAUGGGCGCAAGCGUGACACGGCAAUGCCGGGGGAGUGAUGAAGGCGCUAGGGUUGUAAAGCCCUUUUACCCGGGACGAUAAUGACGGUAACGGGAGAAUAAGCACCGGCUAACUACGUG